rnacentral:snRNA from 1 species
AAACUUAGCUGGCAGGGAGAAAUCAUUAUCAGGAAGGUGGUUUUCCAGGAUGAGGCUCCUCCUGUGCUGACCCCUGCAACUUCCCCGAAGGUAAGGAAAUUCAGCUGCAUAAUUGUGUUGUGGGGGACAGCAUAAGCACUCUCCCCUG